rnacentral:rRNA from 1 species
GGGCCUCUUGCCAUCGGAUGUGCCCAGAUGGGAUUAGCUAGUAGGUGGGGUAAAGGCUCACCUAGGCGACGAUCCCUAGCUGGUCUGAGAGGAUGACCAGCCACACUGGAACUGAGACACGGUCCAGACUCCUACGGGAGGCAGCAGUGGGGAAUAUUGCACAAUGGGCGCAAGCCUGAUGCAGCCAUGCCGCGUGUAUGAAGAAGGCCUUCGGGUUGUAAAGUACUUUCAGCGGGGAGGAAGGGAGUAAAGUUAAUACCUUUGCUCAUUGACGUUACCCGCAGAAGAAGCACCGGCUAACUCCGUGCCAGCAGCCGCGGUAAUACGGAGGGUGCAAGCGUUAAUCGGAAUUACUGGGCGUAAAGCGCACGCAGGCGGUUUGUUAAGUCAGAUGUGAA